AGAGUUUGAUCCUGGCUCAGGACGAACGCUGGCGGCGUGCCUAAUGCAUGCAAGUCGCACGCAGCACCUUCGGGUGCUGAGUGGCGCACGGCUGAGGAUCACGUGGGAACAUGCCUCCUUGUGGGGGACAACACCGCGAAAGCGGUGCUAAUCCCGCAUACGCUCGUCGGAAGGCGAGGAAAGCUUGCAAAAGCGCAGGGAGAGUGGCCCGCGGCCCAUCAGGUCGUUGGUGGGGUAAUGGCCUACCAAGCCGGUGACGGGUAGCUGGUCUGUGAGGACAGACAGCCAGACUGGGACUGAGACACGGCCCAGACUCCUACGGGAGGCAGCAGCAAGGAAUUUUCGUCAAUGGGCGCAAGCCUGAACGAGCAACGCCGCGUGGAGGAUGACGGCCUUCGGGUUGUAAACUCCUUUUUCGGGGGACGAUGAUGACGGUACCCCGGGAAUAAGGCUCGGCUAACUCUGUGCCAGCCGCCGCGGUAAUUC
rnacentral:rRNA from 1 species